GUUUGAUCCUGGCUCAGGAUGAACGCUAGCGGCAGGCCUAACACGUGCAAGUCGAGGGGUAGAGGGUGCUUGCAUCCUUGAGACCGGCGCACGGGUGCGUAACGCGUAUGCAACCUGCCUUCCACAGGGGAAUAGCCCAGAGAAAUUUGGAUUAAUGCCCCAUGGCACAUCGAGACGGCAUCGUCUUGGUGUUAAAGUAACAACGGUGGAAGAUGGGCAUGCGUCCCAUUAGCUAGUUGGUAAGGUAACGGCUUACCAAGGCUAUGAUGGGUAGGGGUCCUGAGAGGGAGAUCCCCCACACUGGUACUGAGACACGGACCAGACUCCUACGGGAGGCAGCAGUGAGGAAUAUUGGUCAAUGGUCGCAAGACUGAGCCAGCCAUGCCGCGUGCAGGAUGACGGUCCUAUGGAUUGUAAACUGCUUUUGUACGAGAAGAAACACUCCUACGUGUAGGGGCUUGACGGUACCGUAAGAAUAAGGAUCGGCUAACUCCGUGCCAGCAGCCGCGGUAAUACGGAGGAUCCGAGCGUUAUCCGGAAUCAUUGGGUUUAAAGGGUCCGUAGGCGGCCCUGUAAGUCAGCGGUGAAAUCUCCCGGCUCAACCGGGAAACUGCCGUUGAUACUGCAGGGCUUGAAUUGCCGGGAAGUAACUAGAAUAUGUAGUGUAGCGGUGAAAUGCUUAGAUAUUACAUGGAAUACCGAUUGCGAAGGCAGGUUACUACCGGCGUAUUGACGCUGAUGGACGAAAGCGUGGGGAGCGAACAGGAUUAGAUACCUUGGUAGUCCACGCCGUAAACGAUGGAUACUAGCUGUCCGGCGCAAGCUGGGUGGCUAAGCGAAAGUGAUAAGUAUCCCACCUGGGGAGUACGUACGCAAGUUUGAA
rnacentral:rRNA from 1 species